rnacentral:lncRNA from 1 species
GUGACAUUUGCCUGCAACAUCUGGUCCCCUGGGAGGUCAGUGCAGGGUUCCUCCAUCUUGACAUGAGUAAAUUCUAGAUUAGGUAUUUGGCAGUUAACUCAUCUGGAUAUAUGGGAACAGAAGUGCCAGACACGUAGAUAAUAUUUGGAGAACAGGAGCAGACUUGGAACAUGCUGAAUAGAGGACAAGGAAAAUUAUACUUUGGUGAAGUCCAGUAAUUCAAGUGUUUGGCUAACAAUCAUCAAGGCCACAAAAACCCAGCCUCUGCUCUUGGCAGUAUCAGGAACUUCAUGGAAUACAUCACUUUCAAAUUGCAGCUGCAAAUGGUCUUGUUAAAGGUAUCAUCAGACAAACUUAAAGAUGAUCUGACAAUGUCAUUUUCCAAGGGACUGAUAGAAAGAUUGAGUAUCAUGAAAUCAGAACAGACAACAGAGAAUCAGAUUUGGACUGAAUCAGAAUAA